AAGUGAGAAACUUUCUACACUCUC
rnacentral:snRNA from 1 species